GCACCCGCGGUAAUUCCAGCACCAAUAGCGUAUAUUAAUGCUGCUGCUGUUAAAAAGCUCGUAGUUGGAUCAAGAGUUCGACAGUGCACGGUGGCCCUGUUUGCCAUGGUGGUUCCGAUCACCGUGGCGGCAGCGGAUCAACCCCGUGCGCCAAACUGUCGACUCUAACAGACCGAAACGGUUCCCUGCGAGUAGACUCCUUCAUUGGGGUUGAAAGCGAUUACGCAUCAACCAUAUGCAUACGGGACGUCCGUCAAAGUUACUGUGAACAAACCAGCGUGUCCAAAACAGGCUUUCGCCUGAAUGUUCGAGCAUGGUAUAACAAGGGAUCGAUUCUCUCGGUUCUUUUUUGUUGGUUUUAAACCCGAGAAGGAGUAAUUCAGGCCACGGUGUCUGAGUUGGGUUCCCCUUCACCUCGGUGGAGGCCCCAAUUAGGCCGUGUCCUUACGGGAUCAAUAGGGACUGACGGGGUCGUUCGUACUUCUACGUCAGAGGUGAAAUUCUUAGAUCGUAGGAAGACGAACUUCUGCGAAAGCAUUCGACAAGAAUGUCUUCAUUAAUCAAGAACGAGAGUGUGGGGAUCGAAGAUGAUCAGAUACCGUCGUAGCCCACUACUGUACACAAUGCCGUCUCAGGAUUGAGAAGUGAACAGAAUGACUUUCACAGCACUAACCCCUGAAACGAGAAAUCAAAGAUUAUGGAUUCAGGGGGGAGUACAUUCGCAAGGCUGAAACUUAAAGGAAUUGACGGAAUGACACCACAAGGCGUGGAGUAUGCGGCUUAAUUUGACUCAACACGGGGAAUUUUACUAGGUCAGGACAAUGUAAGGAUUGACAGAUUGAGAGCUCUUUCUCGAUCCAUUGUGUGGUGGUGCAUGGCCGCUCCUGGUUGGUGGAGUGAUUUGUCUGGUUGAUUCCGUUAACGAACGAGAUCUCGACCCUUAAAUAGGUGCCCGUGUCGAAUGUAGUUUCGCCUCCGCGUACUUGUACGAUUGGAGCGGGACGAGACUGCGGGAAUACUUCUUAAGGGGACUGUGUGCGUCUCUAGCACGCGGAAGAGCGAGCCAAUAGCAGGUCUGUGAUGCUCCUAAAUGUCCUAGGCUGCACGCGCACUACACUGAUGCAAUAAACGAGUCUGAGUGCCUUCUGGCAACCUACCUGGAAGCGGGUGGGAAAUCUUUUGAACUUGCAUCGUGAUGAG
rnacentral:rRNA from 1 species